CCUACGGGGAGCAGCAGUGAGGAAUAUUGGUCAAUGGCCGAGAGGCUGAACCAGCCAAGUCGCGUGAGGGAAGACGGCCCUACGGGUUGUAAACCUCUUUUGUCGGGGAGCAAAGCGAGUCACGUGUGACUCAUUGAGAGUACCCUAAGAAAAAGCAUCGGCUAACUCCGUGCCAGCAGCCGCGGUAAUACGGAGGAUGCGAGCGUUAUCCGGAUUUAUUGGGUUUAAAGGGUGCGCAGGCGGAGGUGCAAGUCAGCGGUCAAAUUGCGGGGCUCAACCCCGUACUGCCGUUGAAACUGCAGCCCUUGAGUGCGCGAGAAGUAGGCGGAAUGCGUGGUGGAGCGGUGAAAUGCAUAGAUAUCACGCAGAACUCCGAUUGCGAAGGCAGCAUACCGGCGCGCAACUGACGCUCAUGCACGAAAGCGUGGGUAUCGAACAGGAUUAGAUACCCGAGUAGUC
rnacentral:rRNA from 1 species